rnacentral:rRNA from 1 species
UACGGGGGGGGCAAGCGUUGUUCGGAAUUACUGGGCGUAAAGGGCUCGUAGGCGGCCAACUAAGUCAGACGUGAAAUCCCUCGGCUUAACCGGGGAACUGCGUCUGAUACUGGAUGGCUUGAGUUUGGGAGAGGGAUGCGGAAUUCCAGGGUGUAGCGGUGAAAUGCGUAGAUAUCUGGAGGAACACCGGUGGCGAAGGCGGCGAUCCUGGACCAACACUGACGCUGAGUGAGCGAAAGCCAGGGGAGCAAACGGG